GUAGGGAAUCUUCCACAAUGGACGCAAGUCUGAUGGAGCAACGCCGCGUGAGUGAAGAAGGUUUUCGGACCGUAAAGCUCUGUUGUUGGUGAAGAAGGAUAGAGGUAGUAACUGGCCUUUAUUUGACGGUAAUCAACCAGAAAGUCACGGCUAACUACGUGCCAGCAGCCGCGGUAAUACGUAGGUGGCAAGCGUUGUCCGGAUUUAUUGGGCGUAAAGCGAGCGCAGGCGGAAGAAUAAGUCUGAUGUGAAAGCCCUCGGCUUAACCGAGGAAUUGCAUCGGAAACUGUUUUUCUUGAGUGCAGAAGAGGAGAGUAGAACUCCAUGUGUAGCGGUGGAAUGCGUAGAUAUAUGGAAGAAUACCAGUGGCGAAGGCGGCUCUCUGGUCUGCAACUGACGCUGAGGCUCGAAAGCAUGGGUAGCGAACAGGAUUAGAUACCCUGGUAGUCCAUGCCGUAAACGAUGAGUGCUAAGUGUUGGGAGGCUUCCGCCUCUCAGUGCUGCAGCUAACGCAUUAAGCACUCCGCCUGGGGGAGUACGACCGCAAGGUUGAAAC
rnacentral:rRNA from 1 species